YGAGAUUCUACGGGAGGCAGCAGUGGGGAAUAUUGCGCAAUGGAGGAAACUCUGACGCAGCAACGCCGCGUGUGUGAAGAAGGCCCUCGGGUCGUAAAGCACUAUAAAGUGAAAAGAGACGGUAGUGGUUAAUACCCGCUACCCCGACGGUAUCACUAGACAAAGCACCGGCUAACUCCGUGCCAGCAGCCGCGGUAAUACGGAGGGUGCAAGCGUUGUUCGGAAUUAUUGGGCGUAAAGGGCGCGUAGGCGGGUUUCUAAGUCUGAUGUGAAAUCCCUCGGCUUAACCGAGGACGUGCAUUGGAUACUGGAAACCUUGAGUCCUGGAGAGGAAAGCGGAAUUCCAAGUGUAGAGGUGAAAUUCGUAGAUAUUUGGAGGAACACCAGUGGCGAAGGCGGCUUUCUGGACAGUGACUGACGCUGAGGCGCGAAAGCGUGGGUAGCAAACAGGAUUAGAUACCCUGGUAGUCCACGCCGUAAACGAUGGGUACUAGUUGGUGCGGGUGUUGACUCCUGCGCUGACGGAGCUAACGCGUUAAGUACCCCACCUGGGGAGUACGGCCGCAAGGCUAAAACUCAAAGGAAUUGACGGAAU
rnacentral:rRNA from 1 species